rnacentral:rRNA from 1 species
UGAGGAAUAUUGGUCAAUGGGCGCGAGCCUGAACCAGCCAAGUCGCGUGAGGGAAGACGGCCCUACGGGUUGUAAACCUCUUUUGCCGGGGAGCAACGGUCGCCACGUGUGGCGCCACUGAGAGUACCCGGAGAAAAAGCAUCGGCUAACUCCGUGCCAGCAGCCGCGGUAAUACGGAGGAUGCGAGCGUUAUCCGGAUUUAUUGGGUUUAAAGGGUGCGUAGGCGGAGCGUUAAGUCAGUGGUCAAAUUGAGGGGCUCAACCCCUUCCCGCCAUUGAAACUGGCGCUCUUGAGUGGAAGAGA